rnacentral:rRNA from 1 species
AUUGAACGCUGGCGGAAUGCUUUACACAUGCAAGUCGAACGGCAGCACGGGGGCAACCCUGGUGGCGAGUGGCGAACGGGUGAGUAAUACAUCGGAACGUGCCCGGUCGUGGGGGAUAACGUAGCGAAAGUUACGCUAAUACCGCAUACGAUCUGAGGAUGAAAGCGGGGGACCUUCGGGCCUCGCGCGAUCGGAGCGGCCGAUGUCAGAUUAGGUAGUUGGUGGGGUAAAGGCCUACCAAGCCGACGAUCUGUAGCUGGUCUGAGAGGACGACCAGCCACACUGGGACUGAGACACGUCCCAGACUCCUACGGGAGGCAGCAGUGGGGAAUUUUGGACAAUGGGCGCAAGCCUGAUCCAGCCAUUCCGCGUGCAGGACGAAGGCCUUCGGGUUGUAAACUGCUUUUGUAUGGAACGAAAAGGCUCUGGCUAAUACCUGGGGCUCAUGACGGUACCGUAAGAAUAAGCACCGGCUAACUACGUG